CCUACGGGAGGCAGCAGUGGGGGAUAUUGCACAAUGGGGGAAACCCUGAUGCAGUGACGCCGCGUGGGUGAAGAAGCGCCUCGGCGCGUAAAGCCCUGUCAGCAGGGAAGAAAAUGACGGUACCUGAAGAAGAAGCCCCGGCUAACUCCGUGCCAGCAGCCGCGGUAAUACGUAGGGGGCAAGCGGUAUCCGGAUUUACUGGGUGUAAAGGGGGCGCAGACGGCGAUGCAAGCCAGGAGUGAAAGCCCGGGGCCCAACCCCGGGACUGCUCUUGGAACUGCGUGGCUAGAGUGCAGGAGGGGCAGGCGGAAUUCCUGGUGUAGCGGUGAAAUGCGUAGAUAUCAGGAGGAACACCGGUGGCGAAGGCGGCCUGCUGGACUGCAACUGACGUUGAGGCCCGAAAGCGUGGGGAGCAAACAGGAUUAGAUACCCCAGUAGUC
rnacentral:rRNA from 1 species